GAUGAACGCUAGCUACAGGCUUACACAUGCAAGUCGAGGCACCGGCGCACGGGUGAGUAACACUUAUCCAACCUGCCCUUUACUCGGGGAUAGCCUUUCGAAAGAAAGAUUAAUACCCGAUGUAAAGGAUGGGGUUUCGUUCCCUUAGGUUGUUGGUGAGGUAACGGCUCACCAAGCCUUCGAUGGAUAGGGGUUCGGAGAUGAAGGUCCCCGACAUUGGAACUAAGGCACGGUCCAAACUCCUAGGGGAGGCAGCAGUGAGGAAGAUUAGUCAAUGGGCGUUAGCCUGAACCAGCCAAGUAGCGUGAAGGAUGAAGGCUUAUGGGUCGUAAACGUCUUUUAUAUAAGAAUAUGUAUUAUAUGAAUAAGGAUCGGCUAACUCCGUGCCAGCAGCCGCGGUAAUAC
rnacentral:rRNA from 1 species